UACGUAGGGUGCAAGCGUUGUCCGGAAUUAUUGGGCGUAAAGAGCUUGUAGGCGGUUUGUCGCGUCUGCUGUGAAAUUUCGGGGCUCAACCCCGAACUUGCAGUGGGUACGGGCAGACUAGAGUGUGGUAGGGGAGACUGGAAGUUCCUGGUGUAGCGGUGAAAUGCGCAGAUAUCAGGAGGAACACCGAUGGCGAAGGCAGGUCUCUGGGCCGUAACUGACGCUGAGGAGCGAAAGCAUGGGGAGCGAACAGG
rnacentral:rRNA from 1 species